rnacentral:lncRNA from 1 species
GGAAACCGUAAAAAGGAAACCGGGGAGGGAAAGGACGCCCACCACACGACAGUGUGAUUGGAGCAUGACUGGAGGUGGGUGCGCAAGGACACAGACCUAAUUUUCAUGGCAGGAUGGAGACCCAUCCCGGUUGGGCGACGAGUAAGAAUGCUAAUAGCAAUCGCAGCAGCAGCGGCGAAAGUACACGAGCAGCAAUCCAGAAUUCCUGCCAAUAAAACGCCGGGGGCAACGACAGCGGAGCGAGGACAAGGACGCAGGCCGCGCCGCUCCCCCGGCUCCCGGUCCCCGCGCCGCGAUCGAUGGCUCCGGCUCCUCGCGCCGGCCUGCCCGGCCUCGGCACUCGGCUCGGCAGGCCUGCGGCGCUGCCAUGGAGACGCGGCCCCGAGGCCAACUGGCACCGCCCCGGCCUGCGCGCCCCGCCCCGCGCCCGCGCCCCCGCGUCCCGGAGGCCCCGCGCGCGGGGGCCUCCUGGAUGCUUGGAGCAGAAAGAAGGCACUGGUAGUUGGGUGGUUCCCCAGGAUCAGCCCCUUAGCUAACAGAAGAAGCAGGAUUAGGCUCACCAUCUGGAUCACUGAGAGAGACUGGAACAGUGAAACGUACAGCACCAGCUUGGGGAAGAGUUGAAGACAAGCCACAAAAAGAGAACUGAACAGUGCUGGUUCCAAACCCGACGUGUGUCAGAAGAGCCCCCAUGCUGUGCUGAAAGCUGACCCACGCACACAGCUUGGGGCAGCUAGGAGCUGCUGUCUCCUUGUACAAUGUCCUUUCACUCAGGACACUGGACACAUCUUUUGAAGCUAAGCAGUCCAAGCUGUGGUGUCAGCAUCGAGGCAGACACCUGACAAGGGCCCGCCGAGGUGGGCGCCCCAUCUCUGCAAACUCCACACCUAGUAAAGUGCACACAGCUGUUACCUGGGAACACUGCAGCCAGGGCGCCACUCUGACCUGCUGUCUCCAUGUGGUUCUUAGGUGUCUUUUCAGGAUACUCCUCUCAAGUCUCCUUGCAAUACAACUCUCCUAAGGCUGUUGCCUGCAAAUGGCCUGAAUUCCUCAUUUCUGCCUUCAAGUUACACAGGGACUCCUCACACCCAGCGGUGGAGAAACUUGUCCAGCAGUGAAUUUAGUGCAAAGCAGUGGGCAGCAGUCCACACGGCAGGACCGGCUCAGAGAGGCUGCGAGGGCAGGAGCCCAGAAGAGCGCAGGUUGCGGCCAGGGAUGAGUGGCCGCGUCCCGCUGGCAGAGAAAGCCCUGUCUGAAGGCCAUGCCCGGCUCCGGUACAGGGACACCUCCCUGCUCAUCUGGCAGCAGCAGCAGCAGAAGCUGGAAUCCGUGCCACCCGGGACAUAUCUGAGCAGGAGCCGAAGCAUGUGGUACUCACAGUAUGGAAACGAGGCCAUCUUAGUCCGGGACAGAAACAAGCUUGAGGUCUCCCGGGACACGGGCCAGUCCAAGUUUUGCACAAUUAUGUAAUUCCAAGAUGAAAACCAGGGCUCUGAGGAAAACAGGCCUGUGUCUCAUUCCGCUGUUUUGUUGCUAUCUGGGCCUCAGUGGGAUAGUCUGAAUAGUGACCGUGAAGACCAAGCUGUGGCCUAAGAACCCGAGAUCCCAGAAAGGGCCCCCCGCGUCCUGCCUCGCAGCAUCCGUGUGAGGGUCCCGCCUCAGCUUCUGAGCAUAGCAGGCCCGGCCCGGCCCGGGGCACUGCUGGAUGCUGCUUAUCUGUCAAGCUUCCAAAUAAAUCAAGCGAGAGGGACACCCUGGUUACAAACAACCUUUUCAUAUUUCUCUAGGUUGUUUUUGGCAUCCACUCCUGCCUGGUAAGGAAUGGGUCAGAUCUAGAAAAAAGUGAGGAAUCGGCAUCGUGUGUGGUCGGAAGUUCACUGCAGGCGGGGGGGGGGGGGGGGGGGGUGGAUGCAACUGAAACGGGCGGCGGCAGAGGCAGCAGCAUUUCCACGGGAACUUUGCUGCACUUGUAUUUUGAGUCUAGUUCCCAAAGCCACCAUCGUGUGGAAUGAGCGCACUGUGGUAGCUUAUAUGCUAGCUUCCAGGUACUUGAGGCUUGCGGGCAAGUGCAUCCAAGAAACAUUCAGGGAACCAAAAAUUACUUUUAAGUCCCACAUCAGUUGCUUACAGCAAUUUCAGAUUUACCAGGUGGCUGAAGAUGGCAGGUUCUCAACUGACAUUGGAGUCCUGCAGCCUCUGGGCUCCACGACCGGCCCACCCCGCCGUCUGCAGGCUUUUAUGUGUGUUGGUCAUUACUGGGCACAGGCAGCCUUGGCCACCUGUGUACGCAGCAUCUAUGAGUCAUUUUAAAAAGCUCUGCCGUCUGCUGUCAUUAAAGUCUGCGUGGCUAUGCAAAUGUGGAAGUAUCUUUUGUCAAGCUGAUUUUUCUUUUCUAAAUAAACAUCCUUUAGGACUCUCCCUCCUUCCUUCCUCUUAUUUUCAUGUUUGUUCAUAAUAUCUUAAUUGGG